AUAAAUCGGAACGUGCCCAGUAGCGGGGGAUAACUACUCGNAAAGAGUGGCUAAUACCGCAUACGCCCUACGGGGGAAANGGGGGGGAUUUUUUCGGGAACCUCUCACUAUUGGAGCGGCCGAUAUCGGAUUAGCUAGUUGGUGGGGUAAAGGCUCACCAAGGCAACGAUCCGUAGCUGGUUUGAGAGGACGACCAGCCACACUGGGACUGAGACACGGCCCAGACUCCUACGGGAGGCAGCAGUGGGGAAUUUUGGACAAUGGGGGAAACCCUGAUCCAGCCAUCCCGCGUGUAUGAUGAAGGCCUUCGGGUUGUAAAGUACUUUUGGCAGAGAAGAAAAGGUAUCUCCUAAUACGAGAUACUGCUGACGGAUCUGCAGAAUAAGCACCGGCUAACUACGUGCCAGCAGCCGCGGUAAUACGUAGGGUGCAAGCGUUAAUCGGAAUUACUGGGCGUAAAGCGUGUGUAGGCGGUUCGGAAAGAAAGAUGUGAAAUCCCAGGGCUCAACCUUGGAACUGCAUUUUUAACUGCCGAGCUAGAGUAUGUCAGANGGGGGUAGAAUUCCACGUGUAGCAGUGAAAUGCGUAGAUAUGUGGAGGAAUACCGAUGGCGAAGGCAGCCCCCUGGGAUAAUACUGACGCUCA
rnacentral:rRNA from 1 species